UUSACUGGUGAUUGUUUUACARGUUACCUGCUGGGAGCGGGGGAUAACAUUUGGAAACAGAUGCUAAUACCGCAUAACAAUUUGAAUCGCAUGAUUCAAAUUUAAAAGAUGGCUUCGGCUAUCACUUUGGGAUGGACCUGCGGCGCAUUAGCUUGUUGGUAGGGUAACGGCCUACCAAGGCUGUGAUGCGUAGCCGAGUUGAGAGACUGAUCGGCCACAAUGGAACUGAGACACGGUCCAUACUCCUACGGGAGGCAGCAGUAGGGAAUCUUCCACAAUGGGCGCAAGCCUGAUGGAGCAACACCGCGUGAGUGAAGAAGGGUUUCGGCUCGUAAAGCUCUGUUGUUAGAGAAGAACGUGCGUGAGAGCAACUGUUCACGCAGUGACGGUAUCUAACCAGAAAGUCACGGCUAACUACGUGCCAGCAGCCGCGGUAAUACGUAGGUGGCAAGCGUUAUCCGGAUUUAUUGGGCGUAAAGCGAGCGCAGGCGGUUUGAUAAGUCUGAUGUGAAAGCCUUUGGCUUAACCAAAGAAGUGCAUCGGAAACUGUCAGACUUGAGUGCAGAAGAGGACAGUGGAACUCCAUGUGUAGCGGUGGAAUGCGUAGAUAUAUGGAAGAACACCAGUGGCGAAGGCGGCUGUCUGGUCUGCAACUGACGCUGAGGCUCGAAAGCAUGGGUAGCGAACAGGAUUAGAUACCCUGGUAGUCCAUGCCGUAAACGAUGAGUGCUAGGUGUUGGAGAGUUUCCGCCCUUCAGUGCCGCAGCUAACGCAUUAAGCACUCCGCCUGGGGAGUACGACCGCAAGGUUGAAACUCAAAGGAAUUGACGGGGGCCCGCACAAGCGGUGGAGCAUGUGGUUUAAUUCGAAGCUACGCGAAGAACCUUACCAGGUCUUGACAUCUUGCGCCAACCCUAGAGAUAGGGCGUUUCCUUCGGGAACGCAAUGACAGGUGGUGCAUGGUCGUCGUCAGCUCGUGUCGUGAGAUGUUGGGUUAAGUCCCGCAACGAGCGCAACCCUUGUUACUAGUUGCCAGCAUUCAGUUGGGCACUCUAGUGAGACUGCCGGUGACAAACCGGAGGAAGGUGGGGACGACGUCAGAUCAUCAUGCCCCUUAUGACCUGGGCUACACACGUGCUACAAUGGACGGUACAACGAGUCGCGAACUCGCGAGGGCAAGCUAAUCUCUUAAAAYCGUUCUCAGUUCGGACUGCAGGCUGCAAUAGCCGAUCACAAAUUCACAC
rnacentral:rRNA from 1 species